rnacentral:tRNA from 1 species
GGGCGCGUAGCUCAGCGGGAGAGCACUCCCUUCACAUCGGAGGGGUCACAGGUUCAAUCCCUGUCGCGCCCACCA